AGGUAGAGUGGCCGAGUGUUAGGUGGCAGGCUGUAGUCCUGUUCACAUAGGUUUAAGUCCUGUUUCUUCC
rnacentral:tRNA from 1 species